rnacentral:misc_RNA from 1 species
UGAUCUAGGGUGCGUUCGGGGAGCACGCUAUUCGCACAAUAAUAGCGUUUUUCAUUGGGAAAAUGAGUGCGCACUCAAUGCGCACUAGUCGUGGACGAUGUGGUUCAUUGGGAAUUUCAGUGCACAUUAAAAUCAUGCGUCGUGUUUCAUUGGAAAAUGUAGUGUCGAGUUUUUGCACUUUCGUGCACAAAUUCGGCACGAGCUCGGAGAGAUGGUGUCGGUUGAGUGCAAAACAUGGCGGCGCAGAACAGAGAUGUUUUGAAUGAACAAACGUAUGUGAUAAUUUCGGAUUUCCUUUCAUCUUCAUCCAGCAGUGAUGAAAAUGAGUAUUUUCUUCGAAAUCCGAGGCGAAUUGUUCCUAAAAUGAAAAACUUUUUGCAAAUAGUACAUCAAUAUUCCGAUCACGACUUCAAAUCCCAGUUUCGAGGGCAACAGCAUAUGAUAUUAUAAAUAAUUUCGAAAAUUCGACGUUCUAUUCUGGUGAUACAAGCCACGGAGGUAUUAAACCGUCCUCUGCUGAAUCACACGUUUUAUCUUUUUUGUGGUUUGCAGGAAAUAAAGUGUGCUUAAGAGAUGUUGCACAAAGAUUUGGAGUAUGCGCUACAACGAUUUUUCGACAAAAUAAAAAAAUGAUGGAUUUUCUAUGCGAUAUAGCUGGAAACGUCAUCAAAUUUUCUGACAAAGAAAAUACUGCAAACGAAUUCCUUCAAGAUUUCCGAAAGUUCUUGGCUGCAUUGAUGGGACUUUCAUUAAAGUCCGAACGCCAGCCCACAAAAUAAAAUCGACAUAUGUAAAUAGACAUGACAUCCCUUCGAUAACAUUGCAGGGCAUAUGUGAUGCUCGAAAGAGAUUUAUAGAUACAUUUACAGGAAUCCCGUCGAAAAUUCACGAUGCGCGCGUACUCAAAUUAUCAGAUAUAUGCGACGAGUUGCCAGGAAUAUGUGAAGGCGGAAAAUAUCACAUUCUAGGCGAUGGAGCGUAUCCAAUAAGAGAAUGGCUUAUUAUACCAUUUAAAGACUACGGAAAUCUGUCUGCAAAGGAUAAACAAUUUAAUAAAAUGCUGUCUGCGACUCGAGUAUUGAUCGAGAAUGCGUUUGGACUGUUGAAAG